UCCCCGGAGGACUGGCGGUUAGGCCGCAACGCUCUCGCCGCUGCGACCCAGGUUCGAUUCCCGGCCAAGGAA